UCAACCAAAAAAUAUAAAUAUAUUUUCUAAACUAUCUCUAAGAUAUGAUUGUUUUAAAAAAACUUAACACAAUAAUAAUAUAAGUAUAUAUUUUGAUUAAAAGUAUUUGACAUAUAUAAAUAUUUUGAUGUUUGAUUUAACUAUUUAAAAACAUAAAUAAUAAUUUAUUAUGCUGGUUUUAGAUUAAUAAGACAUAAAUUAAUAAGUAUUUAUAAGAAAUUUAUGCCCGCAUGUGCGGGCAAAACACCUAGUUUUGUUUGAAAAAGAGCUUAAAGCAUGCAUCACGGAGCCAUUCAAAGCUUGAAAAGGAGCUUACAGCCAUGACUAAUAAGGUUGCCACGGUCAUGCUAAGGGAAUAAACAUGCAGCAUCAAUUCUGAGAGCAUCAUUCUUUUAAAACUGUUUUAUAAAACUACGUACAGAUAUUGUACCCGAGAGGCAGGAUCCAACAUUGGAAUCUCAAAAGAUCCUCCACUGUAUGUGUGCAGGCAGAGAGACCUCUAUUGCCUUCCAUGCACGAUACGUAGAUUUGCUUUACUUUUAUACAUUUGCAUUCUCUUCUUCUUUUUCUUGAAACAGUUCUGGCGAUAUUACUCUCUUUUCUGGAAUAUAAUUUGAUAGAUUACAGUUGGCGCAAACUAUCUCAAAUUAAAACAGAUAUACACGUGAACACAAACGACAUUCUCACCUUUCUUUGUUUCAAUAUAUAUGUGAUGUAACUUGUACUUACUCGGAGAAGCAAAGCAAGUCAAAAGUCGUCAAAGACAUCUUCAAAGCGAGUCUAUACUGUUUAUCAAGUCAACGAGAGUCAUAAAU